UACGCAGGGGGCUAGCGUUGUUCGGAAUUACUGGGCGUAAAGGGCGCGUAGGCGGUGUGUCAAGUCAGGCGUGAAAGCCCCGGGCUCAACCUGGGAACCGCGCUUGAGACUGGCACGCUAGAGUUCGGGAGAGGAUGGUGGAAUUCCCAGUGUAGAGGUGAAAUUCGUAGAUAUUGGGAAGAACACCGAUGGCGAAGGCAGCCAUCUGGACCGACACUGACGCUGAGGCGCGAAAGCGUGGGGAGCAAACAGG
rnacentral:rRNA from 1 species